rnacentral:rRNA from 1 species
AUGGCUCAGGAUGAACGCUAGCGACAGGCUAACACAUGCAAGUCGAGGGGCAGCACGGGAGUAGCAAUACAACUGGUGGCGACCGGCGCACGGGUGAGUAACGCGUAUGCAACCUACCUAUCAGAAGGGGAAUAACCCGGCGAAAGUCGGACUAAUACCGCAUAAAACAGGGGCACCGCAUGGUGAUAUUUGUUAAAGAAAUUCGCUGAUAGAUGGGCAUGCGUUCCAUUAGGUAGUUGGUGAGGUAACGGCUCACCAAGCCGACGAUGGAUAGGGGAACUGAGAGGUUGGUCCCCCACACUGGUACUGAGACACGGACCAGACUCCUACGGGAGGCAGCAGUGAGGAAUAUUGGUCAAUGGGCGGGAGCCUGAACCAGCCAAGUCCGCGUGAAGGAAGAAGGAUCUAUGGUUCGUAAACUUCUUUUGCAGGGGAAUAAAGUGCAGGACGUGUCCUGUUUUGUAUGUACCCUGAGAAUAAGGAUCGGCUAACUCCGUGCCAGCCGCCGC